rnacentral:rRNA from 1 species
UAUGGCGACCGGCGCACGGGUGAGUAACACGUAUCCAACCUGCCGAUGACUCGGGGAUAGCCUUUCGAAAGAAAGAUUAAUACCCGAUGGCAUAGUUCUUCCGCAUGGUAGAACUAUUAAAGAAUUUCGGUCAUCGAUGGGGAUGCGUUCCAUUAGGUUGUUGGCGGGGUAACGGCCCACCAAGCCUUCGAUGGAUAGGGGUUCUGAGAGGAAGGUCCCCCACAUUGGAACUGAGACACGGUCCAA